rnacentral:rRNA from 1 species
CGGCUUGCGCGUGCUAUACAUGCAGUCGAGCGAGCGGAACUAACAGAUUUACUUCGGUAAUGACGUUAGGAAAGCGAGCGGCGGAUGGGUGAGUAACACGUGGGGAACCUGCCCCAUAGUCUGGGAUACCACUUGGAAACAGGUGCUAAUACCGGAUAAUAAAGCAGAUCGCAUGAUCAGCUUUUAAAAGGCGGCGUAAGCUGUCGCUAUGGGAUGGCCCCGCGGUGCAUUAGCUAGUUGGUAAGGUAAAGGCUUACCAAGGCGAUGAUGCAUAGCCGAGUUGAGAGACUGAUCGGCCACAUUGGGACUGAGACACGGCCCAAACUCCUACGGGAGGCAGCAGUAGGGAAUCUUCCACAAUGGACGCAAGUCUGAUGGAGCAACGCCGCGUGAGUGAAGAAGGUUUUCGGAUCGUAAAGCUCUGUUGUUGGUGAAGAAGGAUAGAGGUAGUAACUGGCCUUUAUUUGACGGUAAUCAACCAGAAAGUCACGGCUAACUACGUGCCAGCAGCCGCGGUAAUACGUAGGUGGCAAGCGUUGUCCGGAUUUAUUGGGCGUAAAGCGAGCGCAGGCGGAAGAAUAAGUCUGAUGUGAAAGCCCUCGGCUUAACCGAGGAACUGCAUCGGAAACUGUUUUUCUUGAGUGCAGAAGAGGAGAGUGGAACUCCAUGUGUAGCGGUGGAAUGCGUAGAUAUAUGGAAGAACACCAGUGGCGAAGGCGGCUCUCUGGUCUGCAACUGACGCUGAGGCUCGAAAGCAUGGGUAGCGAACAGGAUUAGAUACCCUGGUAGUCCAUGCCGUAAACGAUGAGUGCUAAGUGUUGGGAGGUUUCCGCCUCUCAGUGCUGCAGCUAACGCAUUAAGCACUCCGCCUGGGGAGUACGACCGCAAGGUUGAAACUCAAAGGAAUUGACGGGGGCCCGCACAAGCGGUGGAGCAUGUGGUUUAAUUCGAAGCAACGCGAAGAACCUUACCAGGUCUUGACAUCUAGUGCCAUUUGUAGAGAUACAAAGUUCCCUUCGGGGACGCUAAGACAGGUGUGCAUGGCUGUCGUCAGCUCGUGUCGUGAGAUGUUGGGUUAAGUCCCGCAACGAGCGCACCCUUGUUAUUAGUGCAGCAUUAGUUGGGCACUCUAAUGAGACUGCGUGACAACGAGAGGUGGGAUGACGUCAGUCAUCAUGCCUAUGACUGGCUACACCACGUGCUACAUGGCAGUACACGAGAGCGGAGCUGCAGCAAGCAAUCUCUGAGCGUGUUUCAGUCGGACUGCAUCUGAAUCGAAUGACGAGAGGCGUGAAUUCUGCUGUAUGUAUAUUCCGCCGGGA